ensembl:lncRNA
AUGUGGAGUUCCACCAGCCAAACAAAGAAAGUUUUCCAAGGAGGAGGGAAUUAUCUGUUCUGUCAAGUGCUACUGACAUGCAAGAUGCUUCGCUCUGAGGUUCUGAGCCUGUUCCUAAGGAGAACUAUUCUAUUGAAGCUUCACUUCGUUUCUUGCAGGAUGGAGCUUCCAGGAUAGAGCUUCUUUUCUUCCUCAUGGCCUUGACCACCUAGAAUGCCGCUAGAAUGGAGGUGAAACUGCAGUACAUAUAUGGAGGGUUUGGAGGGUGGCUUAAGGAUAAAACAGGAAAGAGAGAGGCAGAUUGUAAGAAAUGAGACUAGCACUCAAUCAUUUGAAGCUUACUGAAAGAUGGUAUGAUAUUAAAAGUUAACAUUCAAAGUUGUCCUGUCUUCUUACUGUGGAAAUGUUUAUAAUCAGCCAUCAGAGAAUAAGAAUGUUGUCUGAUAAUGGACUAUACUUUCAUGGUCACCCAGGUAUUGCAGUGUAUAGUUGAGAGUUUAAAUAGGCACGUGAUUAAGACAUAUAUGAAACAUCUUUAAAUUUUCUUUUUUAGAAUAAGUUCUCAGAAUUGGGACUUCUAGGUCAAUGGCUAUGAUUAUGUUUGUGGUUCUUGAUAUAUCACCACAUUAUUCCUAAACAGGCUCUGUGUAUCAAUUUACUUAGCCCUCCGAGAGCAUCAUCUGAGGCCUAUCUCACCAGACUGGUUGAUAUUUAAAACACAGUUUAAAUUCUUACAUCCCAGGAUUGAACUGGAGACUGAUUGUCUAAGUGAUCAUCUGCUAAGUCUGGAUAAAAGCACACACUGAACACCUUCACUGUUGAUCCACAGUCUAAAACCCCAAAUAGAGCAUGCUACUCCCCUGCUUAGGGCAGUCCUCCUGCACAUGUAACUUUUUGGCAACCUUAUGAAUUCUAUGUCUACCACGUAGGCAGAUUCCAGAUUCCAAAUGGCUGAUGUGAGAAAAGAUAGCUUCCAAUUAAAAGUGGCACUCCCAGGCCACAUCCAACCGUAGACAUAUGGUCUCAAGCCUAGAAGAAAUUAUUGCAAAUUCUGCAAGCUACUCUAAUUUUGGUUAUUUUUUUUAGGGGUUAAUAUUGUGAUUAAAAUGUUUAUCUCAUUAGUUUUUGGUUUACAAAUUUCCAAUAUCUAUGGACAAUCUGCUAUGACCCAUGAGGCUUUAGAAAAUCCCUCACUUCUCUUUUUCCUGUCUUAAUAUAGUUAUAUUAUUAUUUUUAAUUCCUCUGUGACUUUUAUAACUUCACAUAAUGUAUGAAAUAUUUAUACCUUAUUCUGUCCAUGCAUAAUUUUCAAAUUUCAAAAAUGAAGGUAUACUAGCAUCUCUAUUAU